GUGACUAUGCGACGCCGCGUGCAGGAUGAAGGCCUUCGGGUCGUAAACUGCUGUCAGGGGGGAAGAAACCUUACGUGUUAAUAGCGCGUAAGCUGACAUCACCCCCAAAGGAAGCCACGGCUAACUCUGUGCCAGCAGCCGCGGUAAGACGAAGGUGGCUAGCGUUGCUCGGAUUUACUGGGCAUAAAGCGCGCGUAGGUGGUCCUGUAAGCGGGGGAUGAAAGCCCAUGGCUCACCCAUGGAACUGUCCCUCGGACUGCAGGGCUGGAGGGCGGGAGGGGAGAAUGGAAUUCCCGGUGUAGCGGUGAAAUGCGUAGAUAUCGGGAGGAACGCCGGUGGCGAAAGCGAUUCUCUGGCCCGUUCCUGACACUGAGGCGCGAAAGCUAGGGGAGCAAACAGGAUUAGAUACCCUGGUAGUCCUAGCUGUAAACGAU
rnacentral:rRNA from 1 species